GACGAACGCUGGCGGCGUGCCUAAUACAUGCAAGUUGAGCGCUGAAGGUUGGUACUUGUACCAACUGGAUGAGCAGCGAACGGGUGAGUAACGCGUGGGGAAUCUGCCUUUGAGCGGGGGACAACAUUUGGAAACGAAUGCUAAUACCGCAUAAAAACUUUAAACACAAGUUUUAAGUUUGAAAGAUGCAAUUGCAUCACUCAAAGAUGAUCCCGCGUUGUAUUAGCUAGUUGGUGAGGUAAAGGCUCACCAAGGCGAUGAUACAUAGCCGACCUGAGAGGGGGAUCGGCCACAUUGGGACUGAGACACGGCCCAAACUCCUACGGGAGGCAGCAGUAGGGAAUCUUCGGCAAUGGACGAAAGUCUGACCGAGCAACGCCGCGUGAGUGAAGAAGGUUUUCGGAUCGUAAAACUCUGUUGGUAGAGAAGAACGUUGGUGAGAGUGGAAAGCUCAUCAAGUGACGGUGACUACCCAGAAAGGGACGGCUAACUACGUG
rnacentral:rRNA from 1 species